AGAGUUUGAUCCUGGCUCAGGAUGAACGCUGGCGGUCUGCUUAACACAUGCAAGUCGAACGGAGUAGAAAUACUUAGUGGCGGACGGGUGAGUAACGCGUGAGAAUCUGCCUUCAGGACGGAGACAACAGUUGGAAACGACUGCUAAGCCCCGAUGAACCGAAAGGGAAAAUAUUUAUAGCCUGAAGAUGAGCUCGCGUCCGAUUAGCUAGUUGGGGGGGUAAAGGCCCACCAAGGCGACGAUCGGUAGCUGGUCUGAGAGGACGAUCAGCCACACUGGGACUGAGACACGGCCCAGACUCCUACGGGAGGCAGCAGUGGGGAAUUUUCCGCAAUGGGCGAAAGCCUGACGGAGCAAGACCGCGUGGGGGAAGAAGGCUCUUGGGUUGUAAACCCCUUUUCUCUGGGAAGAAAGUUGUGAAAGCAACCUGACGGUACCAGAGGAAUCAGCAUCGGCUACUCCGUGCCAGCAGCCGCGGUAAGACGGAGGAUGCAAGCGUUAUCCGGAAUGAUUGGGCGUAAACGUCCGCAGGUGGCAGUUCAAGUCUGCUGUCAAAGACCGGGGCUUAACUUCGGAAAGGCAGUGGAAACUGAACAGCUAGAGUAUGGUAGGGGCAGAGGGAAUUCCUGGUGUAGCGGUGAAAUGCGUAGAGAUCAGGAAGAACAUCGGUGGCGAAGGNNCUCUGCUGGACCAUAACUGACACUCAGGGACGAAAGCUAGGGGAGCGAAUGGGAUUAGAUACCCUAGUAGUCC
rnacentral:rRNA from 1 species